AUCCAGAUGACGAGUGCCAAACAGGGCGAAAUGUGCGUUAUCCUGGAU
rnacentral:hammerhead_ribozyme from 1 species